UCGUUCCUGAUUUUUUCUGGUUUGGCCUAGGGAUAAAAUUGUGGACUUUCACUGGAAUGCAUCGGAUCCAUGGACUAUUGUUAGCGUAUCUGAUGACUUGGAGACCUCUGGUGGAGGCGGCACACUACAGAUAUGGCGCAUGAGUGAUUUGUUGUACCGACGGGAGGAGGAAGUUUUGGCUGAGCUGCAACAGUUCAAGGACCAUGUGAGCAAGUGCGCUCCCAAGCCCUAGGCCUGAGGUAUUUUUACAAAAGAAAUGUAAUAGUAGGCACUAGAGUACACCAUAUGAGUUAGCAGUAUCUGUAAUAGUUGAAUGGAUUUAGCUUUUGGACUAUUGAUGUUUGCCCGUAGCAAAAUAUGUAGGAGCUAUGCUUGGAGUUAUUAUAAGCCAGUAGACGGUAAGCAGUAAAGUAGCCGAGACUGUAGAGCAUGAUGUUGUAUGUAUUGUGUGGUAUUUUGCUACUUGGAUGUUUGACGUUCUUAUAUUGUGAAAUCCUGCUGUGUUCUGUUUGGGUUUGAACCCCAGAAGUUA